GAGUUCUCCCUGAGACUUAGAGUCUCCUGAAGGAACGUUGAAGACGACGACGUUGAUAGGCCGGGUGUGUAAGCGCAGCGAUGCGUUGAGCUAACCGGUACUAAUGAACCGUGAGGCUUAACCUU
rnacentral:rRNA from 1 species